rnacentral:piRNA from 1 species
UGGUAGUUCAAAGGAAACAGAUCGGGGAU